rnacentral:rRNA from 1 species
GCCCUGCGGAAUAGCCCCGGGAAACUGGAAUUAAUACCGCAUACGCCCUACGGGGGAAAGAUUUAUCGGGGUAUGAUGAGCCCGCGUUGGAUUAGCUAGUUGGUGGGGUAAAGGCCUACCAAGGCGACGAUCCAUAGCUGGUCUGAGAGGAUGAUCAGCCACAUUGGGACUGAGACACGGCCCAAACUCCUACGGGAGGCAGCAGUGGGGAAUAUUGGACAAUGGGCGCAAGCCUGAUCCAGCCAUGCCGCGUGAGUGAUGAAGGCCUUAGGGUUGUAAAGCUCUUUCACCGGAGAAGAUAAUGACGGUAUCCGGAGAAGAAGCCCCGGCUAACUUCGUGCCAGCAGCCGCGGUAAUACGAAGGGGGCUAGCGUUGUUCGGAAUUACUGGGCGUAAAGCGCACGUAGGCGGAUAUUUAAGUCAGGGGUGAAAUCCCAGAGCUCAACUCUGGAACUGCCUUUGAUACUGGGUAUCUUGAGUAUGGAAGAGGUAAGUGGAAUUCCGAGUGUAGAGGUGAAAUUCGUAGAUAUUCGGAGGAACACCAGUGGCGAAGGCGGCUUACUGGUCCAUUACUGACGCUGAGGUGCG